CCUACGGGUGGCAGCAGUGGGGAAUAUUGCACAAUGGGGGGAACCCUGAUGCAGCGACGCCGCGUGAGUGAAGAAGUAUUUCGGUACGUAAAGCUCUAUCAGCAGGGAAGAAAAAAGGACGGUACCUGAGUAAGAAGCCCCGGCUCAAUUCGUGCCAGCAGACGCGGUAAUACGUAGGGGGCAAGCGUUAUACGGAAUUACUGGGUGUAAAGGGAGAGUAGAGGGCAUUGCAAGUCAGGAGGGGAAUGCGGCAGCUCAACUGCCGAACUACUCUGGAAACUGUAUGGCUUGAGUGCAGGAGGGGUAAGGGGAAUUCCUGGUGUAGCGGUGAAAUGCGUAGAUAUCAGGAGGAACACCAGUGGCGAAGGCGGCUUACUGGACUGUAACUGACGUUGAGGCUCGAAAGCGUGGGGAGCAAACAGGAUUAGAUACCCCUGUAGUC
rnacentral:rRNA from 1 species